rnacentral:lncRNA from 1 species
UUCUCUUGCCGUCUGAAACCAGGGCACCCACAACCUGACCCUGAUAUUUGACUUGCUAAAUUAACUUCACUUCAUCCUUGGGUCAUAAACGCUUACUGCACUAGUCUUUUUGAAGGAACAAAACAUGAAAAUCAUACUCAUUACCAGUUGCUACAAAAUUGAAAAAUGAUAUUAUGACGAUAAGGACACUUUUGGCAGCAAGAACAUUAAUUAGUUUAUGACUCCUAGAAAUUACACAACCCCCCACCACCCAAAUGCAGAGAGUGAUAGAUGUGAGUCUCUGAAUAAAACUUAAUGGAUUAGUUGAUAGAUGUGACUCUUUCAUUGAGAGUUAGAUUAUCUAAAGAUUGGAUUAAGGUGCAAAAAAUGAAAUAUUGAUAUAUUGAGUGAAGCCCACAAUGUAAAAGAAAAGAGCUACCAUUAAAUUAAUUAGUAUCAUAGAGUGAAGUCGUAGUGGAUGCUAGCUCUUAACGAAGUUAGCAAUAUUAAGAGUUCCAAAUUGAUUAGAAUAAGAAACUUAAUGUGAUAACAGUAUAUCUACUUAAGUCGUGAUUUUCCCACCUAAUAUAUUAGACUUAUGAUACAUUGAUGCUAAUGCAUGGUGCUCUGUCCUUAAGUUAUAACAGUGAGAAUAUCAAAACCAACCGCAACUACAAACUACACUUUUAUUUUUUGAAACGAUCUCGUAUGCUUGUGUAUGCAAUAAUUAUCAUUAGAUUUUAUUUACUGCUAACUGUAUUAAGUUAUUUUUCUUUUGUGAUGAGUAACGUGGUGACUGGUGUGAAGUUUCUGUCAAUUUUAAUAUUGCCGUUGUAUACAUUGGAUAUUUCUAACCUUCUUUACCAGCCAAUUGUGACCAAUGCUUGUGAUCUUUACCAAUUUAGUGUCAAGCACAGAGUAACCAUGGGACCAUGGGUGAUGACUGAUUGGACAAAACACGAAGUCGGCUAAACAUGUCGGUGGUGAGACCAAAAAAAUAUGUUGCAACUUGCAAGUUGUCAAAAAGUUUAAAAGCCUUCAUUUUCUUGAGUGAAUUGGGGGAACUGCAAGUGCGAGUGAAGUAAUAGGAAACUGCCAUUCAUGUGGUUGUUGCCUCGAACCACAUUUCUACGUGUCUGCCACAUUGGUUCAACACCAGCAGCUUUCAUACUCAACACAACACCAUCUUAUAAAUACUUCCAAUUAAUUUAAGUACAAAAUAGAUAUUUUAUCUCUUGAAAAAGUAUGGUGGAAGUAUGGUCAUUUGUUUCUUAAAAAGGUUAAUAGAUCAACUGUUUAUAUAAGGCAAUAUUAUGUAUAUAAAAAAUACAUAUAAUAUAUUUUACACCUGAUAAUACUAUAAAAUUAUAUAAUAAUUAAAAACAUUUUUAGGCUUAUAGGUUUAUUGGUAUGUUUAUAAAACCUUGUAUGCUUGCUAGACGCACCUAGCGGUACAUCCAACAAUUGUGUAUGAUUUUUGUAAGCCUAAGCAAGAAUUGAAUGUGACUUUUGCGUUAUUAACACAACGCUCUAAUAAACUGAGUUAAUAAGUAAAUUAUGUUAUAAAAUAAUUAAUGUUGAUAUAUAUAACACUAAAUUUUUUAAUGUAUAUUUAAUGCGCAUGUAAAUUUAAAUAAUAAAUUUUGUAAUAAUUAAUUUUGAUAUAAUAAUUAAUAUGUUUACAUAUAUAAAUUGUAAAUAAAAAUCAUAUGUUUAUUAACAUAAAUCUACUAAUGUAUUUUUUGACCAUUAUUAUAAUUGAUUUUGAUUUAAUAAUGUAUUUUUUAUAUAUAUAAAUUUUAAAUAAAAAUCACAUAUUUCAUAAAAAUUCAUAUAUGUAAACAUAUUAAUUAUUAUAUCAAAAUUAAUUAUUUAAAUUUAUAUGUUCAUUAAAUAUAUGUUAAAAAAAUUAAUUUUACAUAUAACGACAUUAAUUUAAUAAUAUAAUUAUCCUAUUAGCUCAAGUAGUUAAAACGUCUUACUAAUAAUGCAAAAAAAUCACAUAUUCAGAUCCUACUUAGGAAAACGGGAAUCGUGCAUAUAUAAUUGCUUUGCGUAACAACACGGGAAGUUAGUUGUAAGAAGUAAAUAAGUUAGACAAAUGUAUUAUUAUAAACAAGAUUAGGGUUAGGCUUAUGACUUGGUUUGACCUGACGAGUCUCUACCCUUAAAAAUAAAAAUAUAAACAUGUGAACAGUGAUAAGAUGAAAAAGAGAGCCAGGGAAUGAAAUAAAAAAUUGAAUAUACAGAAACAUAUCUGUGCUGUGCGACCACGAUUGAAUGCUCCCACCUCCGCUCCACAAAAACUCACCACACUCUCUUUUGCUUCAUUGCGAAACUUAAUUCAAAUUAAAGAAACAUAAUUUAAUAAAUUAGACCUCUUUGUUUAAAAAUCGAGCUUGAGUUUAAGGGAGAGAAGCUAUAUAGGCCACCAAGAGUAGCCACAUGCAACUGCAAGCACUCGGUUUCAAUUAACACUGCAAUCUUCAAUUAAAGACAAAGAAAAUUACAUUGAAAUGGGAUAUAUACUGCCAAAAAUUGAGAACUUAUCUCUGCUCUGCAACUGCUCCAAGUUCCAUCCACAAACCUUCAAAACUCUUAUUGGAGCAUGCAAUGCUAAAGAUGGAAGUUAGUUGCCAACACUGAAAUCUAUAAUUAAAGACAAAGAAAAGUACUUUGAAAUGGGAUAUUCAAGCAAUCUCUGAAUUUGUACUUAUAACUUUGGCUGUUAAAUUAAUAAAAACAAACGUGAUUUUGGAUUUGUGACACAUUCGUGCACAAACUGGACCUGCC